GAAUUCAUAGUUAAUUAAAGCGAUACGUGGUGAAGUGAAACAUCUCAGUAACCACAGGAAAAGAAAACGAAUGUGAUUCCGUGUGUAGUGGCGAGCGAAACGCGAAAACCAAGGCCAAACCUAUCUGAGGAUAGGGGUUGUAGGGCUUGCAUUAUGGAAGUUAAAAGGAUAGAAGAAGCUGUUGGAAAGCAGCGCCAAAGAGGGUGAUAGCCCCGUAUUUGAAAUCUUUU
rnacentral:rRNA from 1 species